rnacentral:rRNA from 1 species
CCGGAUAAUCGGGAGAAAUUCCGUCUAAUACGGCAUAAUGCAUCGACGGGACAUCCUGUUGGUGCCAAAGGUUAAUUCCGGUGGCGGAUGGGCAUGCGUCGCAUUAGUUAGUUGGCGGUGUAACGGACCACCAAGACGACGAUGCGUAGGGGUUCUGAGAGGAAGGUCCCCCACACUGGUACUGAGACACGGACCAGACUCCUACGGGAGGCAGCAGUGAGGAAUAUUGGUCAAUGGGCGGGAGCCUGAACCAGCCAAGUCGCGUGAGGGAUGACGGCCCUAUGGGUUGUAAACCUCUUUUGCCGGGGAGCAAAGUGCCGCACGUGUGCGGUUUGGAGAGUACCCGGAGAAAAAGCAUCGGCUAACUCCGUGCCAGCAGCCGCGGUAAUACGGAGGAUGCGAGCGUUAUCCGGAUUUAUUGGGUUUAAAGGGUGCGUAGGCGGACGCUUAAGUCAGCGGUAAAAUUGCGGGGCUCAACCUCGUCGAGCCGUUGAAACUGGGUGCCUUGAGUGGGCGAGAAGUACGCGGAAUGCGUGGUGUAGCGGUGAAAUGCAUAGAUAUCACGCAGAACUCCGAUUGCGAAGGCAGCGUACCGGCGCCCAACUGACGCUGAAGCACGAAGGCGUGGGUAUCGAACAGGAUUAGAUACCCUGGUAGUCCACGCAGUAAACG